AGAGUUUGAUCCUGGCUCAGGACGAACGCUGGCGGCGUGCUUAACACAUGCAAGUCGAGCGGAAAGGCCCUUCGGGGUACUCGAGCGGCGAACGGGUGAGUAACACGUGAGUAACCUGCCCCUAGCUCUGGGAUAGCUCCGGGAAACCGGGAUUAAUACCAGAUAUGACCACUUUAGACAUCUGUCGUGGUGGAAAGGAUUCCGGCUAGGGAUGGGCUCGCGGCCUAUCAGCUUGUUGGUGGGGUAACGGCCUACCAAGGCGACGACGGGUAGCCGGCCUGAGAGGGCGACCGGCCACACUGGGACUGAGACACGGCCCAGACUCCUACGGGAGGCAGCAGUGGGGAAUAUUGCGCAAUGGGCGAAAGCCUGACGCAGCGACGCCGCGUGGGGGAUGAAGGCCUUCGGGUUGUAAACCCCUUUCAGCAGGGACGA
rnacentral:rRNA from 1 species